UCUUAACGCGAAAUGUAAGAGAAAACUAAGAUUUUCGUAGAUGGCUUUGAGAAGCGUGUAUAUGCGAACUAUACAUGGCAGACAAAGUCAUAGCGUUGUCAAGGCCAACCAAGGCUAGCAAAAGCAACCAAUCACGGAGCAACAUUCAUCAAAAGACUUGAAAUUACAUACGCCAAAAGGACAAACCAAAAAAUAAUGGUUAAAAAUGGAUUUUGGUCGAAAUUUUUCACGAUUUUGGUACCUAAAUGCGUUGCUAAGGCGUUGCUAAGGGUUAAUUUCUUUGAUAAGAUCUGGAGAUGAAGAGAAAAACUUAAGACAGGAGACUGUUGAAAGCAGGAAGCCUUUGUUCCAGUUGUAAAUAUUAAAUUCAACAUAAAAAAAUGCACAACAAACAACUUUGGUUGCAACUUGCAAGGUAAUGUGUUAGAAGAUAUUACUAACAGAAGAUAUGGCGAAGAUAUUCCGAUUUCCUAAACUUUGUCAUAAUGAAAAUUGACAUGAUUGAAAACACUGUGGAAAGCAUCAAAACGUGUCAUGACAUUUCACAUUUGGCUCACAAAUUAAUAUUGUAUAUUGUUAAACUAUUUAAUAUUUUACGUAUGAAGUAUAUCGUAUGAAAUGGACGCUUAAUCAUUUCGUGUGGCUGGUCUGGUGGUGUUGCCCCGCAGACAGAAAUAUUCAGAUAGAGUAGUUUAUGUCCAAUAAUUCUUACAUUAAGCAAUGUCUGAAGUUUUUAUACAUUGAGUGCAUUCAGCUGUGACUGCAUCUACCUUCUGUCUUGGUUACAAGUAAGUUAUCACCUCGUUCUAGUUCCUGCAUUGUUUCGGCAUUGUGUGAACCAUUGAUUGUAUGAGAAGCAUUUAAUGUUGAGGAUUGAAUGAUUUUGAUCAUCAAUAUUGUGCAUUUAGUGUAAGAGAUUUGAAGAUGAUUUCUUACAUGGAAAGUAAUAUUUACUUAAUCUUUAAAAACAUUC